GACGAACGCUGGCGGCGUGCCUAAUACAUGCAAGUCGAACGCAGUGGGGACGGUUGAGUAACACGUGGGUAACCUCCCAUCAGACGGGAUAACCCUUGGAUACAGGUGCUAAACCGAUACUGAUGGAUCAACCCGCGGUGCAUUAGCUAGUGGGUGGGGUAACGGCUCACCAAGGCCACGAGGCAUAGCCGACCUGAGAGGAUGAUCGGCCACACUGGGACUGAGACACGGCCCAGACUCCUACGGGAGGCAGCAGUAGGGAAUCUUCGGCAAUGGACGCAAGUCUGAUCGAGCAACGCCGCGUGAGUGAAGAAGGUUUUCGGAUCGUAAAGCUCUGUUGUUAGAGAAGCGGUAUCUAACCAGAAAGCAACGGCUAACUACGUGCCAGCAGCCGCGGUAAUUC
rnacentral:rRNA from 1 species